UACGAAGGGGGCUAGCGUUGUUCGGAAUUACUGGGCGUAAAGCGCACGUAGGCGGAUUGUUAAGUCAGAGGUGAAAUCCCGGAGCUCAACUUCGGAACUGCCUUUGAUACUGGCAAUCUAGAGUCCGGAAGAGGUUAGUGGAAUUCCCAGUGUAGAGGUGAAAUUCGUAGAUAUUGGGAAGAACACCGGUGGCGAAGGCGGCGCUCUGGACCGAGACUGACGCUGAGGCGCGAAAGCGUGGGGAGCAAACAGG
rnacentral:rRNA from 1 species